rnacentral:lncRNA from 1 species
UAUCCCUCUGUAAAUCUGAUUUGAAAAAAUUGUUUGAACAAACCAACAAUGUCAGAUUUGUUCCAGCUAUAUGAGCUCACAAUUCAUCUACUCUUGGUAGUUCAAGAUAAAAGAUUACCCAAAGAAAAGGAAGAGAUUGAGUAAAGCCACAACUGUAAUAGUGUCCCAGAUUGGGUAAAAGGCCAUUAAUAAAUAGCGUGAAUUGUAGAACUGUUUAAAGCAGCAUAUUUUUAAAACAGGCAUAUAAAGAAUCCACUUUAUGCC